rnacentral:rRNA from 1 species
AUGCACGCUGGCGGCGUGCCUAAUACAUGCAAGUCGAGCGAACGGACGAGAAGCUUGCUUCUCUGAUGUUAGCGGCGGACGGGUGAGUAACACGUGGAUAACCUACCUAUAAGACUGGGAUAACUUCGGGAAACCGGAGCUAAUACCGGAUAAUAUUUUGAACCGCAUGGUUCAAAAGUGAAAGACGGUCUUGCUGUCACUUAUAGAUGGAUCCGCGCUGCAUUAGCUAGUUGGUAAGGUAACGGCUUACCAAGGCAACGAUGCAUAGCCGACCUGAGAGGGUGAUCGGCCACACUGGAACUGAGACACGGUCCAUACUCCUACGGGAGGCAGCAGUAGGGAAUCUUCCGCAAUGGGCGAAAGCCUGACGGAGCAACGCCGCGUGAGUGAUGAAGGUCUUCGGAUCGUAAAACUCUGUUAUUAGGGAAGAACAUAUGUGUAAGUAACUGUGCACAUCUUGACGGUACCUAAUCAGAAAGCCACGGCUAACUACGUG